GACGAACGCUGGCGGCGUGCUUAACACAUGCAAGUCGAACGAAGUUGCGAACGGGUGAGUAACGCGUAAUCAACCUGCCCUUCAGAGGGGGACAACAGUUGGCCACGACUGCUAAUACCUCAUACUGAAGGAGGGGAUUGCGUCGGAUUAGCUAGUUGGAGGGGUAACGGCCUACCAAGGCGAUGACCAGUAGCCGGGCUGGGAGGGUGAACGGGCACAUUGGGACGGAGACACGGCCCAGACUGCUACGGGAGGCAGCAGUGGGGAAUCGUCCGCAAUGGAGGAAAGUCUGACGGAGCAACGCCGCGUGAGGGAUGACGGCCUUCGGGUUGUAAAGCUCUGUUAAUCGGGACGCGGUACCGGAAGAGAAAGCCACGGCUAACUACGUGCCAGCCGCCGCGGUAAUAC
rnacentral:rRNA from 1 species